UACGUAGGUGGCGAGCGUUGUCCGGAUUUACUGGGCGUAAAGGGAGCGUAGGCGGACUUUUAAGUGAGAUGUGAAAUACCCGGGCUCAACUUGGGUGCUGCAUUUCAAACUGGAAGUCUAGAGUGCAGGAGAGGAGAGUGGAAUUCCAUGUGUAGCGGUGAAAUGCGUAGAUAUAUGGAGGAACACCAGUGGCGAAGGCGACUCUCUGGUCUGUAACUGACGCUGAGGCUCGAAAGCGUGGGGAGCAAACAGGAUUAGA
rnacentral:rRNA from 1 species